rnacentral:tRNA from 1 species
GUAGCUCAGUCGGUAGAGCAGAGGACUGAAAAUCCUCGUGUCGGUGGUUCGAUUCCGCCCGGAACCACCA